UCUCUGUAAGCAGGAAAACAAAACAAGGAAAAUGACCAAAAAAUAAAUUCUCUCAAUGCCACAUCUCUUUUCUUUUUGCUUUCAUUUUUCAAGUGAAAAGCAGAAGUAUUGCUCAAACAAACCUCUUUAAGAAUAGAAUAUAUUGUGUAAUGAUUUAUUAAGACUCAAGGAGUCUCAAGGCCCCUUUUUAAUAGCAAUGUUAUUGAUCGCCGAUGAAAAAGCGUGUAUUUGGUUUUAAUAGGUUUUGCUUCUCGAAGCACACUCUUUACAUUCUACAUUGUUCGCUUUUGCAAGAUAUAAACCACUGGGGACUCCAGACACAGUAAAACUGCAGCUGGCAAAAUGUUUGAUAUAAUUUUUUUUUUUAUCAACCUAUUAAAACUAAAACACAUUAUCUCACAAAAUAUAUAAGAAACCAAAUCUUUGCAGCUCUAGCGCUAGGGCCUGCUCCUGAGGUUUACAGUAGAUUUGUUACUCUCUCAGUAAAAUGAAGGAAAACCUUAUUCUACAGGGUCCACAAGUUUCAUUUCGCUUUAGUGAAACCUUGCCAAACAUAUCAGAACAGUUCCAUAUUCCAGAUAGCUUUGUCUAAAGAGCAAAUGUAUUGUAUUGUAUUGACAGUAACGUGCAUUAGAAUAUGGAAGAACAGUAGAAAUAAAUACUAACAGACUUGCAUUGUGUUGUCCCUGCUAUUAUGUUAUCGGGCGAUGCCAGCUAGGCAGGGAUGACUGCCAGUCACCCCUCCACCUUGCGCUCCCCCACCCUCACUGUCUGUUGUGUGGUCCUGCUGUUUAUCACCACGGAAACGGAAUCUGCAGCCGUGUUGAUACUGCCAAUAAACACAUCACCAAUCAUGGCUGUAGAGCAGACCAUUAGAUUCAUGGCUUUGACGAGGCCAUCACUGAGAGGACACCAGGCCCAGUCUUGUCAGCUAGUCCUGUAUGGACUGUUUGCUUUAGCGCAGGUCAAACAGCAGAAUGUCUCUCCAAGGAACUGGAACAGGGGACGCAGCCCGGAAAUGAAAAGGCCAUGAAUUCAUGAAUAUGUGUUAUUUAUUGGGAGAUUGCCAGCAGAAUGAGAGAGAGUGAGAGAGAGAGGGAGAGAGAGCAAGAGAGAGAGAGAGAGAGAGAGAGAGAGAGAGAGGAUUCUCUUACUGAUGCAGGGGGCGAUGGGUGAGCGACUCUGCUGGUAGCCUUUAGCACAGCGGUUGCAGUUUGUCAUUUUACAGAGAAACUGGAAAAUGUAAAGUCCUCUGUCCUAUGAUGCCCAAGACUCCUUCCAUAAAUGCUAAAGAGCAUGUUAGGAAGUUGGGGUCAGAGCACAGGGUCAGCCAUGAUACAGCCCCUGGAGCAGAGAAGGUUAAAGAAAGGGCCUUGCUCAAGGGCCCAACAGUGGCAGCUUGGCAAUACUGAAGCUUGAACCCCCGACCUUCUGAUCAGUAACCCAGAGCCUUAACUGUCAAGCCACCACUGCCCCCCAAAGUGGAGCAUCCAUUGUACAAGUUAAGUGCAUGAACUGUUUAUUUUAGAAACAAAAACUUAUUUGAAUGAUCAUAUUAAUAUAAAUCUUUUGCUCUUGUUACAGCCAGAACUACAGUCCGAGCUGCACUGUUAUACACAAAUAAUCCACACCUUUUGACCAACUGUGCUAUUCUAUAAAGACUACAUUUACUUUUAUUCAUUUAGCAGAUGCUUUUAUCCUAAGCGACUUACAAAUGAUAAAAUACAAGCAAAGCAAUAUUAAGCAGAGAACAAUACAAGAAGUGCUUCCAUACAAGAUCCAUUAAUUGAGUUCCAGAAGAAGCAAAGUGUGCAGAGUACAGGUUUAAGUGCAAGAAUAAGUUGGAAGUUCAUUCCAUCACUGAGGGACAGUUAGUUUGAAGGUUCUUGAAACCGAUCUUGAGCCAUGCUGAGAAGGCACUACUAUCGUUGAUUGAUUGCAGAUUGCGUGAGGGAACGUAAGCCUUCAGGAGAGAGUUGAGGUAGGAGGGUGUUUUUCCAGUCAAGGUCUUGUAGGUGAGCAUCAAGGCCUUGAAUUUGAUGCAGUCGGCUACAUGAAGCCAGUGGAGGGAGAUUGAAGAGGGGUGUGACAUGGGUUCUCUUGGGCUGGUUGAAGACGAGGUGUGCUGCAGCAUUCUGAAUCAUUUGAAGGGGUUUGAUGGAGCUGGCUGGGAAACUCGAGAGUAGAUGAACAUACAGGACCGUGCAGUUGUUGAGAUGUGCUCUGUAAAGGUCAAGAUGUCAUCGAGAAUCACCCCAAGGUUCCUAGCCGUCCUGGUUGGCUUGAGUGUGGUUGAGCCGAGCUGUACAGUGACUAACAACUAAUGAUUAGUUCAUAUUUAUUAAUGAUGUAUUAAUGAUAUUAUAAAGUGUUACCUAGAUGAACUGCACUGGAAACUGCACUGUACUUCAUGAUUGUACAUAUUCAAGCAUAGGACUGGGGCUGUGUAACCUCACAGAGCGACAUGCUCCUCUGAACUGGUAUACAGUCUGGAAUUUUAUUUGGAGAAGCCACUAAACAGAAAUCUCCAUUUCAACAGGACCGGGUGAACAGUUAUAGCCUGCACCUGUGAACAUUUUAGUGUAGGCAAGUUCAUCUGGUAAGGGUCUGUCAAACUUAUGGUGUGUGUGUGUGUGGGGGGGGUUGAAUUUCCUACUUGCAUGUGUAAUGCCUACACACUGCAUGUCAGUGUAUGUGUGGGUUGCACAUUGUCACUGUGACUGGUCUUUGCAUAUGUACAUCUGUAUGUGUGUGUUUUAAAAGCCUUUGUGCUUCACUGUAGGUUUGUGAUCUGCCAUGUAGACCGCUCGCAGCCCUCUCUGAUUGAGUUUCCAAUGUACAGCCUCUUGGCAGGCACAGCCGCUGCAAAUAAAGCCCGAAUAACAUUCACCAUUAAUGGGGCGGUGCGGUGCACUUCAAAGCCGCUCUGCUUAAGCCGUUAGUUAGGAGGAUCGGACAUUAAAAGUGAGAAUUUCGUUGCAUGCUCCUGCUGCCAAACGUUUACCAUAAAGUUGCAUGUUUGAAGUCCUGGCCCAGAUCUCUUCAUCAGGCCGGUAGGUUUUUAUGGAACUGAGAAGUAAUUUGAAAACAGCUUGAGGCGAGCCAGUCUUAAGAAAUCUGUCAAGCAAUUAGUGAGGGCCGGGAGGCACCCGUGAAGAUCAGACAUCACUCACAGAAUUAAACAAGACAAUAGUCUGACACUGUUUGGGUACAGUGAAGGGUCCGAGGGAAGUGUUUGUUAAACAUUACAAUGACACCCUUUUUAUCUCUUACUUCUGUGCAUGGUUGUAUUAAAGAACAAAUCAAAAAAAUAAGAAAAUCACACUUUCCAUGCUAAAUUAAACCCAGUCUGUUACUGUACAACUAUGACUUCAUGAAAUAGGCAUUGUUUUUUUCCCCACUGUUGCCCUUUCCAGCAUGAACAUAAGCUAUGAUUUUCAGACUUAUUCUGACGUGAGAAUCCUGUCUGAGUAGAAGCAGAACCUGCAUUAAGUAAUACAGGACAAUUACAAGUUAAAUGGGAUAAGAAACAAUGGGAUGGAAACAUGGCUUAAACCACACAAGUGGCUGGUCUAUUUUCACAUGUCCUCUGGAGACGCAGACAUUUUUAAAACAGCAGGACAUAUGGGAUAAACCAACACAGAUUUCAGUUUCUUUCACAUCAGUUUCCAGAAUGAAAUUCUACCAAUUUUUGACCGUUGUCAUAAAUGUUUCUUUCCCCCUUUUCUACUUGAAUCCAUGAGGUGAUCAGAUGUGAUUAAAGUACACUUUGGUGUAUCGGUGAUAAGGUGGAACUUGGAGCCAAGGUGUUUGGAAUUUCAAUGUACACUUGACGUGGACACUUCAUAUUAGUCAUACCUGGAUUUGUGUACUUCAGCCACCCACCAGUGAGCCUACCUACUCUUAUAUUAAAGCACUUACACCCCCGCACAGCCCACCACAGAGCACUUCAGACCAUAGUCCAAAGCAGAAGUACUAAUGAAGGCUGAAAGUGGGGUGUAAGGAGCUGUUGGCUAGGCAAUGAAGUGUGGUCAAAAAUGUUCCAUCAGAACUGAAAACAUGCCGAAACACAAAAAAGAGAAGUUGACAGGUUGGUGAUAUAGGUAAGGUAGAAGGGAGAGAGCAAGAGAAAUAGCGAGAGAUGCGGAAAUUAAAACAAAAGGGUAUAGCUGUGGAAAGUGACAUGCUGUUUACACUGCCCUCGAUGAGAGAUGAAGUCGUUGAUCAGGGAAAUAAAGCAUGAGGCAUUCCACACUGCCGCUGGAGGGGGAUUUGGUUCUGAGCUGUAUUCCCUGCUUGGUCUUUUGCGGACAGCCGCAUACGCCACGUUUGCGGGAAUGAGUUCCCGAUUUUCUCCUGAGCGCCUCUGGCAUGAUGACCCGUUUCCCAUCCAAAACAAGCACGUCGAGAUGGUUGGCUGACUCGAACAAUAAAUACCGACGUCACGAGUCCAGAGUUUGUCACCGGAGGAGAACGCAAUCAGGCUGUUUACCUUUUGGUCCCCUCGGUCCACGGCUAAACAAAUGAGAGCGAGGGACUGGAAGCUGUCAGCCCUCCUAUUAACAGCUGCUGCUUUAUGGCGGCUACAUGUUAAGCUCAUUAUGAGAGGCAAGUAAUGUUAUAACUAGCAUAGCCAUAUCCUUUCCCUUCUGCCCUCUGAGCAUCCCAAAUAUAGCCUGGGUAAAUGUUUGGGCUGGCAGGAGUGACUCAAUGUUGCUGAAAACCAUUUGGAACAUCCUUAGGAAUCAGUGGCAUUCCUCUGGUGAGAAUAUAAAGUGAUGACAGUGAAGCAUGGGGCCGUAUUGGCCAUCACUGAAACGCCGGGUCUGGGAUCAAACACCCAAUGAAAAUUAAGGCACCCUAAUGAUUGUGAAAGCAACUUAACCAACGGUUACGUUGGAGUUUUUUUUAUGCUUUCAGCCAGUCCAAGGCCCAUUAGCCACAGUGAAGAUGGAAUAAAGCUUCUGCCCUUGGUGUCUGUAUGUGUAUUUAUGUGUGUGUGGUGAGGGUUAACAAGAUAGCAGGCAGAAGGGCACAGUUGGACUGAAAAUGUGGAAUCCAGCUCAGGGCCAAAUGGAAUGCAAACAUGGCGGUGGAUAAAAACCACACUGCGGUUUGUUCACAAACUCUUCAGCAGCUGCACUUACUAUAAAAUAUGUGAUGGCUCCAGUGGGUAAAUGGUAAAUAUGUUUGACAAGAUCUCUUGCUUGAAAGUUUUGCAAGUUUACAUUGACCUUUUUUUCGUUUCAAGCUGGCAUCCCUUGAAUCAGAUACAGCUUUCUACUCGAUUAAAGAUUUCUUUUUCCUCAUAAACGUCAAAAACACAACAGUUCACUAGAGAGGUUAGACUAAAAAUAUGAAAUAUCACAUUUACACACAAGUGUUAGUCAGGUAAAGGGCUUUCUUUACAGAAGGAGUUACCGUUUUGUUUAGGAGGUGAUUGUUAACAUUGCCUUUUGUUCAGAAUUGUGUGCCUCCCUUCUCCUUUUUCCUGCUUUACACAUGACACAUUGUGCUCACAUGCGGUUUAUGUGCUUUAUCCUUCUCCAAGUUAAAUGAAUACGAUCCAAUAAAAUAAUAGAGAGCCUAGUUGCUUGAGCCAUGACAAUUACAACUGUUCUCUCUUCUAAUGAUGGAAUUUCAUUGGUUAAAUUUAGCCUAAAUGCACUUUAGCACUAAGGGGUCUGUGAAAUAAGAAUUGGGCUGGCUUCCUCUGGGUUUUCCGGUUUCCUCCCACAGGCCAAAAAAACAACAAAACAACAACAAAUAAAAAAACAGGCUGUUUUUGUGAUUGGCUGUUCUACAUUUCUCCUAGGUGUGAUAAGUGUGUGAAUGUGUGUGUGUUUGAGAUUGACUGACAUCCCAUCAAACACAUUCAGUGUUCCCAGAUCCACCAUGACCCUGACCAGGAUAAAGCACUUACUGAAGUUGUAGUCUGACAGCAAAGCUAAUAUUUAAGAGCUAUCAUUUAUUUCUGGCAGAAGAAGCUCAUCAGUGUUAAGAAUGAAUUGCCUCAUGGGAAUAUGGUUUAAACUAAAUUCCACCAUAUGCUGGUGUGCAUAUGUGUGUGUGUGUGUGUGUGUGUGUGUGUGUGUGUGUGUGGUGAUAUGCGUAUAUCCACAUGCAGGUGCAGCAUGAACAGGAAGUAUGUAGGCUACACAUAAAGAUAAUUUCACACUAUGCUUUGAUUUGUUUUACUUUGUGUUAUCUGAUACUCAGUUAACUAUAAGGUUAACUGGAAUGGUGCAGGUGGAUAUCGCAUAAUUUUGCUGCGUUUCAGCUGCUUUCUGCUCACACCUUAUAGAAAUUAGAUGGUAGAUUGGGUUUCCUCUGAAUAUUUAGGAAUUAUGAAUGUCUUUCAAUUUACCCUUCUUUAUUUAAUUAGAACCCACUGAAAUGAGCUUAAAUGAGUUAUACCAUACAUAGUAGGGUCUAAACAUAUGAGCACACAACCAACUU